UAUGCAUUGAUUAGUUUUAGUUUAAUUUAUAGAAACAUUAAAGUUGGCUGUCCCUUGAACUAUAUGCGCAUAAUGUGUAAUUCUUUAACAUAUGGCUACAAAAUUCUUCGAGCUGUAGACAGUGCUUAGAUUUUGAAAUUUGUUGUUAUCAAUUGAUCAUGUGCAUUAUAGUGUUUUGUGACUUGCGCAUGAUUUUUGAGUUCUGCAUACUUCUGAUAAGAGCAAGUACUGUGUUAUACACCUAGAUCAUGUCACUGUGAGCUUUGCCGGAAGUGGUGGCCCUGGAGGUCAAAAUUUUAAUAAAGGUCUCUAGAACCUGUCUUCCAAAUGCAUUUUAAGUAGUUUUACUUUUAUACAUUCAGUGGCUUUUUAACAUUUUUAAUUUCAUCCCUCCCUUUCUUUUCUUAGCAGUGCAUUGUUUAUCACUUUAUAUAUGUUUGACAGUGAACACCAAUGUGGAUAUGCGGUUUAAUUUCAAAGAUGCACAUUGGCUAAGUGACAGAGUCAAGGAGUGGAUACUUUUCUUAUAAAGAAUCUUUUUAUGUUAGUUUAUUAUUAGAAUGUGAUACUGGACUUUGAGAUUGCAAUGAAAUUUGGGCGCCUUUUUAAAAUUAAUUAACAUGCUCUAGAAGGUUUGGGGUUUCUCUAUUCUCCAAAUUGACACGCAGUUAUUUAAUUCUUGUAAUCUACCUGUAUUUCCAUGUCCUAAUUUUUUAAUCUUAUAGUCCUUACAAUGUGUGAUCGUCAUGUAUUUCUCUACUUCUCAUGUUAGAUAAUGCUCUUAUCUAAAAUGUAUGCACUUUGAAUCAGGUGUUCAUGCAAUGAAAGGAUUAUCAUUUCCAUUCUUUAGUGAUGCUAUUAUGUAAAUCUUAAUAUCAUUAUGCAAGUUUUGGUGAUGUCGUCAACAGGAAAAGAAUCGGAUCAAUAAAGACGGAGAAAUUGUAAUUUCUUCAACAAAGACUAGAACACAGAAGGGUAACAUUGAAGAUGCGCUGGGGAAACUACAGGCAAUUAUAGAUGCUGCUUCUUAUGUCCCACCACCACCUUCUGAAGAGUAAAUAAAAAAAAAUUGCCAAAAUGUAAGACAAUGUUGUCAUAUCAACUAUAUACUUUGUUGAUGGUAGCUUUAUAUUGCUAUUUUGCCUAUAAUGCCAUUGCUCGACAGUGAAUCUUGGUUUCAGCUUACCUUCUGAUUUGUUCUAUCUAUUCUCAGCUUUGUCUUAUAUGAUUAUGAUGGUAUGGAACCACAAUUAAUAUAUACUUUUGUAUUAUCAUU